rfam:Alligator mississippiensis ScZkoYb_2987, whole genome shotgun sequence.
UCCCAAUGAGGAGACUUGCACUUGUCUUACUGCCUGUUCUGGUGCCAGAACCUGCAAAGGUUGAACCCACUGGUGCCGGCAGCCGGAGAGGAGGAUGACCCGUUCUGGCUGGAACUGUCUGAUGGGAC